rnacentral:rRNA from 1 species
AUGUCGCCGCCGGCGGCGGCAGGCCCCUCCAUCUAUCCCGCACCGGAUCCAUCCCCGUCUACCCCACCAAAUGCCCCUUCCCAUUCAGGUCGUUCCCUCGAGCUGCGGCGGCCCAGUCCUGCCUCUAGAGCUGACGCGGCCGCAGUGGCGGCAGGACCGACUAGUGGGUUUGGAACCCCCGAGGUCUCCGGCGGCGGGCACAGAUCCAGCUCCGCGGCGAGCCAACAUGAGUCAGACUCGUGGGGAUGGUGUGCGGCAAGGCGGAGCAGAACACGGGCGCGCCCUUCACGCUCGACGACGGCACCAGCCGCAUCAAUUUCAUCAGAUGGUGCUACAUUGUACUUCUCUGGGGGAAUUGGUGCAAAAUCUAUACCAAAACAAUUUCAACUCUAG